rnacentral:rRNA from 1 species
UACGGAGGGAGCUAGCGUUAUUCGGAAUUACUGGGCGUAAAGCGCACGUAGGCGGCUUUGUAAGUAAGAGGUGAAAGCCCAGAGCUCAACUCUGGAAUUGCCUUUUAGACUGCAUCGCUUGAAUCAUGGAGAGGUCAGUGGAAUUCCCGGUGUAGCGGUGAAAUGCGCAGAUAUCGGGAAGAACACCCGUGGCGAAGGCGGCACUCUGGGACGGUACUGGACGCUGAGACGCGAAAGCGUGGGGAGCGAACAGG